AUUGAACGCUGGCGGCAGGCCUAACACAUGCAAGUCGAGCGGAGCGGCGGACGGGUGAGUAAUGCCUAGGAAUCUGCCUGGUCGUGGGGGAUAACGUCAGGAACCGGGCGCUAAUACCGCAUACUAUCAGAUGAGCCUGGGUGGGAUUAGCUAGUUGGUGGGGUAAAGGCAUACCAAGGCGACGAUCCGUAACUGGUCUGAGAGGAUGAUCAGUCACACUGGAACUGAGACACGGUCCAGACUCCUACGGGAGGCAGCAGUGGGGAAUAUUGGACAAGGGGCGAAAGCCUGAUCCAGCCAUGCCACGUGUGUGAAGAAGGUCUUCGGGUUGUAAAGCACUUUAAGUUGGGAGGCGUUACCAACAGAAGAAGCACCGGCUAACUCCGUGCCAGCAGCCGCGGUAAUAC
rnacentral:rRNA from 1 species